ACGUAGGUGGCAAGCGUUGUCCGGAAUUAUUGGGCGUAAAGCGCGCGCAGGCGGUCCUUUAAGUCUGAUGUGAAAGCCCACGGCUCAACCGUGGAGGGUCAUUGGAAACUGGGGGACUUGAGUGCAGAAGAGGAAAGUGGAAUUCCACGUGUAGCGGUGAAAUGCUUAGAGAUGACAUAGAACACCUACUGCGAAGGCAGCUUACUACGCAGAUAUUGACGCUCAUGCACGAAAGCGUGGGGAGCAAACAGGA
rnacentral:rRNA from 1 species